UUACGGCCAUAUCACAUUGAAGCAUAAGUUUUUGUGCGGUCACCGAAGUUAAGCAACGUUGAGCCUGGUCAGUACCUAGACUGGUGACCGCUUGGGAAUACCAGGUGCUGUAA